rnacentral:rRNA from 1 species
AAAGCGUGCGCAGGCGGUUAUGUAAGACAGAUGUGAAAUCCCCGGGCUCAACCUGGGAACUGCAUUAGUGACUGCAUAGCUGGAGUACGGCAGAGGGGGAUGGAAUUCCGCGUGUAGCAGUGAAAUGCGUAGAUAUGCGGAGGAACACCGAUGGCGAAGGCAAUCCCCCGGGCCUGUACUGACGCUCAUGCACGAAAGCGUGGGGAGCAAACAGGAUUAGAUACCCCAGU